UAGGGAAUCUUCCGCAAUGGGCGAAAGCCUGACGGAGCAACGCCGCGUGAGUGAUGAAGGUCUUCGGAUCGUAAAACUCUGUUAUUAGGGAAGAACAAAUGUGUAAGUAACUAUGCACGUCUUGACGGUACCUAAUCAGAAAGCCACGGCUAACUACGUGCCAGCAGCCGCGGUAAUACGUAGGUGGCAAGCGUUAUCCGGAAUUAUUGGCGUAAAGCGCGCGUAGGCGGUUUUUUAAGUCUGAUGUGAAAGCCCACGGCUCAACCGUGGAGGGUCAUUGGAAACUGGAAAACUUGAGUGCAGAAGAGGAAAGUGGAAUUCCAUGUGUAGCGGUGAAAUGCGCAGAGAUAUGGAGGAACACCAGUGGCGAAGGCGACUUUCUGGUCUGUAACUGACGCUGAUGUGCGAAAGCGUGGGAUCAAACAGG
rnacentral:rRNA from 1 species